AUUUCAUGCAGAACCAGUUGAUGUUUGGUCCUGUGGAAUAGUACUUACUGCAAUGCUCGCUGGAGAAUUGCCAUGGGACCAACCCAGUGACAGCUGUCAGGAAUAUUCUGACUGGAAAGAAAAAAAAACAUACCUCAACCCUUGGAAAAAAAUCGAUUCUGCUCCUCUAGGUAACUGAAUUAUCUUGAGUGAAAGAGUACCGAUUUCUUGGAUAUGAAGUCUUGUGCUAUUUGAAUUUUUUCUUACUUUUUUUUUGUUUUAAACUUACAAAUAAUUCAUGAUCGUUGUAGAUAAAAUAGUAACUAUAAGUAAAAAUUAAGGAAAAAAUAACUCUUUAGUCCCAGAACUCUGCAGUAGAUUUUUUAAAAUAUUCUAGGGAGUGUAUAUUCAGAGCAACUUGAAUCUGUGCUCUUAGAUGGCUUUUUACUUAAAGUUUUCAUAUGUGCUAUACUUUGUUGCAAAUACACUCGUUUGUUGCUUAAUUAUAGGGAUGCACUCUAACAAAUGUUUCAUUAGGUGGUUUCAUCAUUGUGUGAACAUCAUAGAGUAUAUUUACAUAAAUCUGGAUAGUAUAGCUUACUAUAAAUCUAGGCUAUUUGGUAUACCCUAUUGAUCUCAGGCUGCAAACCUGUACAGCAUGUUACUAUACUGAGCACUGUAAGGAAUUGUAACAUAAUGGUAUUCGUGUAUCUAAAUAUAGAAAAAGUAUAGUAAAAAUACAGUAUUAUAAUCUAAUGGGACUGUCUGUUAUACGUGUGGUCCAUUCCUGACU
rnacentral:sRNA from 1 species